CGGAAAACAACUGUGGUGGAUGACCGAAGAAUUCUUUCCCUGGUGAAGAAAACACCCUUCACAACAGUUGGCCAGAUCAAGAACACUCUCCAGGAGCUAGGUGUAUGUGUGUCAAAGUCAACAAUCAAGAGAAGACUUCACCAGAGUGAAUACAGAGGGUUCACCACAAGAUGUAAACCAUUGGUGAGCCUCAAACACAGGAAGGCAAGAUUAGAGUUUUCCAAACAACAUCUAAAAAAAGCCUUCACAGUUCUGGAACAACAUCCUAUGGACAGAUGAGACCAAGAUCAACUUGUACCAGAGUGAUGGGAAGAGAAGAGUAUGGAGAAGGAAAGGAACUGCUCAUGAUCCAAAGCAUACCACCUCAUCAGUGAAGCAUGGUAGUG